GCCGCCUCCGCCGCUCCCAAAUUGGUCCUCGCCGCACCACGGCACCAGCCUGGUCCUCUCAACCCCAUCUUGGCCGCCGCGCUGCCCAGCCUCUCCCCCGCCUGGUCGUCGCCACAGACAGCACUCCAGGCAGGUACUCCUCGCUCGUGCACUGAAAUUAACAGCAGAAUUUGAUGAAUCAGUAACAACAGCUUCAGUAAUUUACAGCAGGAUUUAAAUAAACCAGCAGAAAUCAGGAGUUUAUUGCACGUAGGUUCUGCUCUUAGUUCCAUGUUACUGAAGAUGCGCUGUUUAUUUAAAUAAACCAACAGAAACCAUUAGAAUUUGAAAUUCAAGUGCUCCUGAAGUGUUCCAGGAUUCUGGUUUUUUGACUUGGGGAUCUGUUGUUUCUAAAUAAACCAGCAGAAAUCAAAUUCCAUUGUUAUUCAUUAAAAAAACUGAUUAUUACUCCUGAUAAUUAUGCUUACAGUUUCUUGUACUGCAUUCAAUUCUAAUUUUUCAACUGAGUACUGCAUGCAAUGCCAUUGUUAAAAAACAGCAGCAAUAACAAGUCCUACUCCAAGAACUACUCUUAAAUUUAAUUUACUGAAGAGAAGAGAAGAGAAGAACACUAAAUUCCUACACUACUGAACAAGUGCAGUACACUACUGCUGCAAUUGCUAUUCCAGUCAUUGGAAACAAUACUCCAAUACUGCUGUAUUGGAAGCAAUACUGCAGUAGUUCAAGCAGUACUUCAGUGCUGUAGUUCAAGAUACUGAAACUUGCCAAUUGGCAACAGUACUGUUGCUGUAGAACUACUGAAACUACUCAUGCAACACUAAGCAUGGGAUACACUAAGAAUUUUCAGUGGAGAAAUUAACAGAAUUAAGAAAGCAUCAGGAAGUUAACAAGACAAAUUUAAGCUACUGAAAAAGUACUGCAACCAAAACAGUACUGCACUUCAUUUUAAGCUACUGUACCAAGUCAACAGAAGAUUCAUGAAAGAUUAAUAGUAGCAGAAGCUUCAUGUGCAAAAUUACUGAAUUUGCAAAAAUUUGUAAACUGGUUUUUUUGCCAAGGAAACAAAAUUUUACUAGUAAGGUACACGUGCAUUGCACGCAUGAGAUUUGGUAACCAAAUUAUGAAUAAACACCACACUAUAGCAUGUAAGCUUUGAGUCAUAUAUGAAUGAUGUAGAUGUUCAUUUAAUUCUUAUAGUUCAUCUCAUCCAAAAUCAAUUAGUUUUAUAAAAAAAUCUAUUUUAAGAUUCAUGGAAUUGUGCAUUGUAAAGGUAAAAACAAAAGGUGACAAUUCAUUUAGAAAAAAAGGUUUGGGCAAUUAAGAUAUGGAAGAUUCUAGAGAAGAAAGGAGAAGUGCUUGUGUGUUUGAGGUUUGUGCAUUAUGCUUAAGUUCAACCAUGGAGUCUUCUAGAUUGUACAUGCAUGUGGCAAAAUCUGGUGGAAUGUAGAUGAUAUCCAACGGCCAGUAGUGCUCGGAUUUGCCAUCUCUAUACCGUCGGAUUGGCUUCAUCCAACGACCAACUUUCAAAGUUAUUCGCACACUAUAUAGGUGUAUAGAUGUUCUGUUUCAUGAACUAACUAGUAAGGUACACGUGCAUUGCACGCAUGAGAUUUGGUAACCAAAUUAUAAAUAAAUACCACACUAUAGCAUGUAAGCUUUGAGUCAUAUAUGCAUGAUGUAGAUGUUCGUUUAAUUCUUAUAAUUCAUCUCAUUCAAAAUCAAUUAGUUUCAUAAAAAAAACUAUUUUAAGAUUCAUGGAAUUGUGCACUGUAAAGCAUAAAGUAAAAAACAAAAAGUGACAAUUCAUUUAGAAAAAAAAGUUUGGACAAUUAAGAUAUGGAAGAUUCUAGAACAAAGGAGAAGUGCUUGUGUUUUGAGGUUUGUGCAUUAUGCUUAAGUUCAACCAUGGAGUCUUCUAGAUUGUACAUGUGGCAGAAUCUGGUGGAAUGUAGAUGAUAUCCAACGGCCAGUAGUGCUCGGAUUUGCCAUCUCUGUACCGUCGGAUUGGCUUCAUCCAACGACCAACUUUCAAAGUUAUUCGCACACUAUAUAGGGGUAUAGAAUAGUCUUACCUUUGAAAAUAUUCAGCUCAUCUUGGAGUACUUGUUAUCAAAGGUAUCAUGAGCUGAAUAUUUUCAAAUGAUUUGCAGCAGUAUACACCCAACAUCACAUCCUACUUGUAGCCACUAGCCAUCAAGUUACUACUGUACUUGCAACAUCAAAUCUUCUUACAACACUUCUUUUAAAGACAGUGUUUGAGGUUCAGAAGUGACUAAGACAACUUUACUGGUUUUCAGGGUUCAGACUUGAGAGCCUCUUGUGUUUGUUUUCCUUUUGCAUCUGUGAUUGUUUUCAAACUGCAACCAAGCUGAACUUUUAGGGUUGAUGGAUGCUACAGAGAGCUGCUGCUACAGGCAUUUGGUUUUGCAACUGAAUUCAGAAACAAUGGAGAGGUCAGUUUCGUGUGAUCAUGACUUUUAUGUUCUCCCCAUGAUACCUUUCAAAAUACGGUAUUCAGCUCAGCUUGGAGUACUCAUUACACAUCACCCAUCAUUGCAAAAACUUGAAUGAGCAACUCAUUUCAUCUAAUAAGCAGUUGCAGAAUAUUCGCACAAAGAAAAUAACCUUAAAUGAACUACAGUGAGAUGUAAAGAGCCACCACUACAAUUGAAUUUUACUCAGAAAGAAUUGUGUCCUGGAGAGCAUGGCAUUAUACCUGAACUGUACUCCAUUCCAGAUAGCCACAUGGAAAAGAAAACGACCCCCAAAACUGAGAAACAGGAUCCCACAUGGAGUAAUCUACAUUACGAGGUUGGUGAUGAACUCACCUAGCAUUUCACCAAGUUCACUGAAGAAAUCAUUGAGCAGGUUGCGCUUAUGCUUAUCCCUCUCUGCUUUUUGAAUAAUC
rnacentral:lncRNA from 1 species